GACGAACGCUGGCGGCGUGCUUAACACAUGCAAGUCGAGGGCACUUUGGGGGCAACCCUGGAGUGACCGGCGAACGGGUGCGUAACACGUGAGCGACCUUGCCUCGUGGUGGGGGAUAGCCGGCCCAACGGCCGGGUAAUACCGCAUAAGGUGCUUCUCUCGCAUGGGAGGGGUAGCAAAGCUGUCGGGCAACCGAUGGCGCCACAGGGGGGC
rnacentral:rRNA from 1 species